AAAGCAGGGUGCGUUAGGGUUUGGCUGAAACAUCCUGUUCUUCAGAUCUUCUCCAAGGUCUUGCUGCUCAGUAACUGCUUGGGAUGGCUCUACAUCAGAGCAGAUGGGUUAUUCAAGGUGUAGUGAUGCUCAUACCCAGGAGGUGGGGGACCAGUGCCAGGGGAACCUGCACUUCUGAACAGCAGAAUUCCUUUGUUUGCUGCUCAUUGGUUCAAAUAUUGGAUCGUCCAAAUAAUUCAUUGCAGAAGGUGUUUUUUUUCACUCCUGCAACAUCCUGAGGAAAUGAGUUGCCUAGCUGAUGCACUGUGGGAUCACUUUCCUGUUACUGUGUUCAGACCAGGUAUCUGGACAUCCUUUGGUUUAGAUUUGAAGAAGCAGUGAAUAAUUAAUUGUUACCAGUUCUCUUCUUCCACUCAACCCUUAAUUUUAUAUUUAUAUCCUAUAGUCCCCCACUGUUAUUCCUUUGCCAAGUCAAGGUGAUCGUUAUUUAGCUGCCUUCUGUCUAGAAACAUAGCAAAGGAAGGUAGUGUAUUUUGGGGAAAAGUUUCAUUUGCAUAACCUAUACAUAGCAACAACAUCAGCCUUUUUUAAAAACCUGAAAUAGAGAGGAAUAUUGAGAAAGGCACUGACAGCAAGAGAAAUGCUUCAAUUGAGAGAUACAGAGGGUGAGAUUUAUCACAUCCAACAUGCAAUAUUCCUGUGCAGACAUCUCUAUCUCAGGCUGUCUCCCCGUGCCCCUGAUUUAGGGGCUAGCCAAGACAGGUGAAAGGGGGCAGGGUUGGUUUGACUUAUUUUUGGUGAGAUGAUUCCUGCCCUGCAGCCCUAAUGGAGGCUGAGGCAGAUGCAGGCACCUGCUUUUUGAUGUGAUGAUACUCAAAUAAGACUCAGGCUGUGAGCUGUAGCAGUAACUUGUAAGUAGCCAUGGCCAAUGAAUUAGUUUUGAUGCUCCCUCACUGUGCCAUAUCUGUUAUUAAUCCCUGAGUAAUCACUGAGAAUAGUGCCCUGGGCCAACCCUGCUUGGUUUCUGGACAUUUCUGGAAGUAUACAGGAUGCAGCGUGGUCACCUUCCGUUGUGUGCCUGGAAAUUUUUCUUCUUGGAUCUCAAUGGCAGAAAUUCGAUCAAGAAAUCUGAAAUGUGAUGUUUUUAGUUUUUUUUUUUUUCCUGCACAAUCAGGCUGAGUAGGAUUUAAAUUUUUUAUAAAUGCAAAGAUAUUUUUGAUCAGUUGACAUCUCAUUUAUACUAAUUGUCUUUGAAUAUAAUUAGCUUUCAUAGGGAUAAAUUUCCUCAUUUUUAGAUUGUAGAUGAAAUUACACUAUAUGUAUAUAAAGCGGGAGAUGAACUUUCUGGAGCAGUUGAUUCAAUAUAUCUUUACUGCAAAUAAUGCCCUUUAUAUUUCUGGGAGAACAAAGAAGAAAAUCAUCUGUAUCUCACCAGUUCUUUUGCUGCUCUCACAUGAGCAAACAAAAACAGCAGCAUUAGCAUGAAGCAGAUGCUAAAUACAUCAAAUACAUGCCAAAGGCCCAGAAAACGUUCUUACGGUAGCAAUGUGAAGUAUUUGCAGUGAUAAAACUAUAAAGGGUUAGAGCAUCCCCUUAAAAAAGGGAAGGUUCCACCUGGAUGUUAGAAGAGAUAUUGCUGCCAGGAACAGCCAACCCCUAAAUUCAGACACCUGCACAAAGAGUGGGACAGUACCAGGGCUGUCCCCAUGACUGGACAAUUACAGUGGUGCCAGGAGAUGCAAGCAAUGUAGAACCCACAGCAUCUCUCUCCAGAUCCUGCUCUGACCAAGGCAAGGCUUGUAAUGAGGACUUUGACCAAGCAAAAGGUUACAGAUGAUGGGAACCAAAAAUGUGGGAGAGCGUGGAGGAUUGGGAAAUAGUGGGUGCUGCCGUAUGGCUCACAUCAUUUCACUUUCCUCUGCUUUAUCUCAUGUGUUUCUGUGUGUCUACGCAAAUGCACAAGAAGAGAGGAACCAAAGGGCUCAUCUUCACCAGGAUGUAACCAACUUAUCUCUAGUCUCAGCACUACCAGCUCUCACCACAUAGGAGCACGAGUGGAGUCUCCUGUUAUUAUCUAUACCCAGAUCCUUCAUCUGCAGGGGUGGCAAAGCAACAUUUGUGAAAACCAUGGCUGCCUUUUAUGCUCUGUGGUCUUACAGCCUUAAUCCUGAAGGGUAAGAAGUUGGUUUUCAAGGGCAGCUUUCACCCCAAAGCACCUGACCAUCCCCUGCCACAAUCCCAGACUGUGGGUUGGAGCCAGGUGGCCACUGAAGUCCCUGUGGGAGAUUUGGGAUGGGGAGUGCAGAUGGCAGCUCUGGCUUGCCACUUCUGGCAGAUUUGAUAACAGUUUAAUCCUUGUGCAAUGCCUCUUCUCUGCAUCCAGGCAUUCAGUGAAUGUAAAGCAGAAAUAAAAGAGUUGCCUCAUUAAAAUCUGAUCACAGAAACGAAGAUAAUAGCCCUGUCUUUGUGAGGUGGAUACAAAGUCACGUGAGCCCCGGCAAGGAGGGGGAAAUGAUAGAUGGAGUUAAAUUUACCUCCUGUCCCUCAGACACCCCCCGCUCCUAUGCAGCUCCAUCGGCGGCUGCUGUCAGCACGUAAUGUCUCCGGCAGUAAUGAAUGACUGACAGCAUGGCAUGAAUCCCUGCUGGAGAGCUGCCACUCAGGGGCUCUCAGGAGGAAACGCGAGAGGAACCUGAUUGAAGAAAUAACCCCUGACGCUGGUCUCUGGUGAUUCACCUCCCCACCCUCAUCAGCAGAUCCAGACGCUCCUGCUGAGGGCUCGCGGCCUGGAGUCGUGUGGCCGGGAGCAUGUUUCUGCCUCUCCCUGCUCAGCGCAGACACCUCCACCCCUGUGGGCUGAGCCCUCUCCUAACUCCUGGCUGAAGGUUCAGUUCUUCUCCUGACAGGGCCUCUCCACGUGGGCAGUUGCUGACCAAGGUUUAAAACAGUGAGCUGGAAAGGAAAAACCUUUAUUUUUUUCCCAUUUUCAGAGCCCUGAGUUCACCGAUGCUGUGAAUGUUCUGGGUUUUCAGAAAGGAAGCAAAACCUGAGCGCUCAGGGGAUAAAUUCCUGGAAAAGUCAGGCAGCACUUAAUUUUCAGAUCUGAAGAAAGGGAAGGAACACAAUGGAAGCCUGGAUCUUAGAAAAACCUGUUCAAAGAGCCUCUAAAAAGGCCUACAGCCCCAAGAUUUAGCACCAGAAAAGAAUGGCUUUUAAACACACUGAACUCUAGAGACCUGCCCUGGGUAGUGUUGUUAGAAAAAAAUGGAAAGUCAGAGAAGAUCCUAACAGGAGGAGUCCAAAAGCUGCUGAGUUCAACUCUGAAGCCCUCCCCAAAGGGCUGCCCACAUUAAAUCUGUCUGACUUGGGCUUCAGCUGCAGCCCCGGCAGGCUCUGGAGCUCAAAGCAAAGGUCAGGCCCAGAGCACAGCCCCCAGCUGGUGCUGUGGGGUUUGACUCGAUGUGGGGCUGCAGUGGGUGCGGACCGAACCUCCCUGCUGUGUCUGAGACCCUCCAGGGGCUCCUUGCGCAGCUCCUCCUGCACUGCCACGUGUGCAAGGGGAGAAAGGACAGCUUCCUCCUUUCAUGGCUGGGGACAAGGAUGGGGGCACAAUGCCCAGGCUGAUGGAUUUGGGGGAUGUGAGGUGAUUGUCCACAAGGUGCUCCACAGACACUUUCUUGUCUUGCUACAAUGAGCAAGGGCUUUCUGACCACCCCCUUUACAGCCCUGUUUCAGAACUUAGAAGACCUCAGCACCCCAUAUCUAGGUAUGGAGGGUGCAGGCCUCUCAGGAGAGCAGGUGACCCAAAUUAGGCCUUUUCCCCCUGAACUCAAACAUUGCAGUGAUUUCCAGCUGGCUCUGAGUGAUCCACCAAAAUCCCACAGGUGGUUAGGGGACAGUUGGGUUCCUACCCUUGUUUCCUCUCUAAAUGAGCACCUUAAAUUACUUCUUAUAAUGUUAACACAGGACAGUCACCUCCAACAUUGACCAUUGCAGAGCCAGGAGUGAAGAAAAUCAUUUAAAA